GCUUGUCUCAAAGAUUAAGCCAUGCAUGUCUAAGUGUAAAUACGUCUACACUGUGAAACUGCGAAUGGCUCAUUAAAUCAGUUAUCGUUUAUUUGAUGAUCUCUUGUUACAUGGAUAACCGUAGUAAUUCUAGAGCUAAUACAUGCGCCAACUCCUGACUGCUUGCGGAAAGGACGUAUUUAUUAGAUACAACCAACCCUCCGGGUCCCUGGUGAAUCAUAAUAACUGAGCGAACCGCAUGCUUCGGCGGCGGUGGUUCAUUCAAGUUUCUGCCCUAUCAGCUUUCGAUGGUAGGGUAUUGGCCUACCAUGGCGUUAACGGGUAACGGAGAAUUAGGGUUCGAUUCCGGAGAGGGAGCCUGAGAGAUGGCUACCACAUCCAAGGAAGGCAGCAGG
rnacentral:rRNA from 1 species